rnacentral:lncRNA from 1 species
AUGAGAUUCAACUGUUAUAGAUCAAGGCUUGCCGAUGGAUGAAUAGAAAAUAUAUCAAGAAGUGACAAGAGAACCAGCACAUGGUCAUGUUGUUGGUUGGGGAGUUGGCAUCAAAGGCAAGGAUGUUUAUGGUUCUCCAAGUCAAGGAGGUAACAAGCAUCUAUGUACUGAUUUGGAAAAAAAGAAAAAGAUUUAGAGAAAGAAGUCAAGAAGUUGAAAAGAAUAGUAAAGCUUGUGGUUGGAAAGUCAAGUGCACAAGGAUCAUCUUAGAAGGUGUAGGUUGUUUAUUUCAUUUUAUUAAUAGAUUACGUGAACGGGUAUGUACUAUAUUUUGAGUUCUCAUGAAAAAUGAUUGGUGACUUGUUAUUGCUUUAUUAGUUGAUGAAUUAUGGAUGAGGAAGUGAUCUCAAGUGAUUAGAGACAAGCCUAUAAUAUAGGUGGAUGAGGGAAUAAUAUUAGAUUUUUUGAAAUGAAGACUGUGCAUCUAUAUAGAGUUUUUUUUUAUUAUACUAUUUUUGGUUGAUCCUCAUUUGUCUCAGCUUCUUUAUUAUAUUGUAUAACAAUUUCUGUUUCGGUAAUAAUAAUGAUUAAAAUUCUUUUUUUUACCUAGGAUAUUGUUUUGACAAAAGAAGAUGAUGAUGGGGGUGAGGAUGAUGAAGUUGAGGCAAAUGAUUCAUAAACUGAAGAAAUUGUUUUAGAGGAUGAUUGAACAUAUUCAAGAUAUGAUGAUAUCAUUUUGUA